GUAGUACCAACAGCAGGNGUUGCAUGGACUGUCGUCAGGCUCGUGUCGUGAGAUGUUGUGGUUAAGUCCCGCGAACGAUGCUGCAACCCUCGUCGCAUGUUGCCAGCGGUUCGGCCGGGCACCCAUGCGAGACCGCCGGCGUCAAGCCGGAGGAAGGUGGGGAUGACGUCAAGUCAUCAUGCCCCUUAUGUCCUGGGCUGCACACGUGCUACAAUGGCCGGCACAAUGGGCUGCCACUGCGCGAGCAGGAGCGAAUCCCCAAAGCCGGUCCCAGUUCGGAUUGGAGGCUGCAACCCGCCUCCAUGAAGUCGGAGUUGCUAGUAAUCGCGUGUANUACCAA
rnacentral:rRNA from 1 species